CUAGAAAGCUAAGACUCGAACUUAGACUAGAAAGCCCAAAACUUUCUAUACUACCAAUAUACUACUUCCUA
rnacentral:tRNA from 1 species